ACUACUGGAUUUCUUCCGAUCUAUAUAAAGUCCCACCUUCCGAAAUGCUCUGAUUGGUAAAGCUGACCCGGUCUGUCUUGAUUGGUUUCCCGCUUAGAGUGUGUGAGUGAAAUGUCCCACCCAUACCAUAUCAGCGAGUUUCAGCUUCUCAGGCUGUUAUGAUAAGUCGGUGCACGUCUCAGUGCACGUGUAAUCAUAAACUUUGUUUUUUUUUUCGCAAUAAACACAACAGUAAAAAUGGAGUCAACUUCACUUUAUCAGUUAAAACAUCGGGAUUCAUUGAAGUGUAAUGGAGGUCUUCUUUGUGCAAACGUCAUUUUGGACAGAGAUCGUAUUUUUUUCCUACGAUGGCGAGGGAAAUGACACGGACCGAAUGGCGUCAGAAUGGUCAUACUAAUUAACAUUAAUAACAGAAGCAUUAGUUGUGGGUUUUUAUAUUGGACCCGAGUUGGAUAAAAAAACAAGCAGAUUGACCAGGAGACAUUUGCAAGCAGGAUUUCAAAGGACUUUUCAUAGAAGUGUUUAAGAGGCAGAGGCUGAUGUUGCAGUAACAAGCUGAGAUUGGCUGUGGUCGGUGCUCCCAGAGUAUCUGCUCUUACCUGCCCACCAGAGAAAAUAAUUGGUGUGGUGGCAGGCUUGGGCCUGUACGGAAUCGUAGCGCCUUUGGGUGGGGACUGGAACAGGACAACAUAGGACAAACACGAUUGGAAAACAUAACCACACAGAUCUGUUUUACACACUGGAUAAUGGCCUCAGGAGCACCUGAAAUAGUGACUGCCCGCUCAGUGGAAUUGGGCAGCAUGUCUCCAGCCACCUGUACCUGUGCACCUGUUGACUGAAAACCAAGCGUAGCACUAUCAGCCAGGGAGCCUGAUGGUCAGAGUGACAUUGAGCCCUCCUUCUGACUGAACUUUGGUGGGUUCCAUGGUUGGGACUUGGGUCUGGGUGAACGAGUAAGGAAUUCACAGGAGCGACUGAGGAAUACAGGG